rnacentral:rRNA from 1 species
GAUGAACGCUGGCGGCGUGCCUAAUACAUGCAAGUCGAGCGAACAGACGAGGAGCUUGCCCCUCUGACGUUAGCGGCGGACGGGUGAGUAACACGUGGAUAACCUACCUAUAAGACUGGGAUAACUUCGGGAAACCGGAGCUAAUACCGGAUAAUAUAUUGAACCGCAUGGUUCAAUAGUGAAAGACGGUUUUGCUGUCACUUAUAGAUGGAUCCGCGCCGCAUUAGCUAGUUGGUAAGGUAACGGCUUACCAAGGCGACGAUGCGUAGCCGACCUGAGAGGGUGAUCGGCCACACUGGAACUGAGACACGGUCCAGACUCCUACGGGAGGCAGCAGUAGGGAAUCUUCCGCAAUGGGCGAAAGCCUGACGGAGCAACGCCGCGUGAGUGAUGAAGGUCUUCGGAUCGUAAAACUCUGUUAUUAGGGAAGAACAAAUGUGUAAGUAACUAUGCACGUCUUGACGGUACCUAAUCAGAAAGCCACGGCUAACUACGUG